rnacentral:rRNA from 1 species
UACGGAGGAUCCAAGCGUUAUCCGGAAUCAUUGGGUUUAAAGGGUCCGUAGGCGGCCCUGUAAGUCAGUGGUGAAAUCUCCCCGCUCAACGGGGAAACUGCCAUUGAUACUGCAGGGCUUGAAUUAUUGGGAAGUACUAGAAUAUGUAGUGUAGCGGUGAAAUGCUUAGAGAUUACAUGGAAUACCGAUUGCGAAGGCAGGUUACUACCAAUGGAUUGACGCUGAUGGACGAAAGCGUGGGGAGCGAACAGG